UGGGGAAUUUUGGACAAUGGGCGAAAGCCUGAUCCAGCAAUGCCGCGUGUGUGAAGAAGGCCUUCGGGUUGUAAAGCACUUUUGUCCGGAAAGAAAUCCUUGGCUCUAAUACAGUCGGGGGAUGACGGUACCGGAAGAAUAAGCACCGGCUAACUACGUGCCAGCAGCCGCGGUAAUACGUAGGGUGCAAGCGUUAAUCGGAAUUACUGGGCGUAAAGCGUGCGCAGGCGGUUUGCUAAGACCGAUGUGAAAUCCCCGGGCUCAACCUGGGAACUGCAUUGGUGACUGGCAGGCUAGAGUAUGGCAGAGGGGGGUAGAAUUCCACGUGUAGCAGUGAAAUGCGUAGAGAUGUGGAGGAAUACCGAUGGCGAAGGCAGCCCCCUGGGCAAUACUGACGCUCAUGCACGAAAAGCGUGGGGAGCAAACAGGAUUAGAUACCCUGGUAGUCCACGCCCUAAAACGAUGUCAACUAGUUGUUGGGGAUUCAUUUCCUUAGUAACGUAGCUAACGCGUGAAGUUGACCGCCUGGGGAGUACGGUCGCAAGAUUAAAACUCAAAUGAAUUGACGGGGUCAUAGCUGUUUCC
rnacentral:rRNA from 1 species